rnacentral:rRNA from 1 species
AUAGCUUUCAGGCCUGAAUUCUGAAAUGGCGCUACUCGGAAAACCAUGAAAGGCCACUCAUGGAUGGUGAUAGGGGGAGAAAAGAACCAAAGGAGAAGGAAAGGCCACGUACUACCCUAUCCCUUGUUUUGACUCAUUGACCUGCUGUCUGCAGAGCACUGCCUCUCAUUUCGCUUGCAGUGCAAUACUCAUCCAGUUCCAACUUCCUUGUCUGCGCGACGAGCAGAGGAGGAGGGGCAAGCUCCCGCGUCCCGUUCGCUGUUUAAUCCGUGUUUCUGCAUGCACAAAACAAAAAGGGGAAACAUCAGCAACAACAAAACCCCGCAAUCCCAUGGAGGAGGUGGCGCUGGCUGGCUUGCGACUGGCGGUAUCACCAAUAUUGAAGGAGCUCAUCACUAAAGCUUCAUCAACUGGAGACCACCGUCAUGCCGCAGUUCGAGUUGAUGAUUCAAGCUGCUAACAAGCGCAACCAGAGGGCCAUGCUGGACAGAUGGAUCCAAGAGCUCAAAGACGCCUUGUACAAGGCUGAGGACCUGUUGGAUGACCAACAGCCCCCGCGCGCCGCCGCUAGCCCUCCUCUCCCCUCCUCUUCCCCUCGCCGCCGCCGGAGCGCGCCGCCAGGCAAAGCCCGGCCGGCGUAGGCGGCGGCGGGGCCCUGGUCUCCCGUCCCUUGAGGUGGUCUGACGCGGGGCUGCCCCCCUCGAGCUGAUGCGUGGCGCUUGGCGGGGCGCGACGGCGCGGCACCGGCUGCAGCCAAGGUGACGGCGGCGGCUGCGGGUGGUGGCGUGGAGGGCUGCUGGGCCUUGCGGGGCAUGGUGCCCGUGCUUGGGUGCGGUGGCGGGGUGUGCUCGGAGUGGUGGCGAGGGUUUCCCAGAUCUGAUCUGGACGGUGGUGGAUCCUCGGGCCGCCGCUUCGCGGGUGGCACGGGCUGCGGUGGCUAGGGCCUGCCGGCGGUGCGCGGGGGCUGUUGCGCUCGUCCUCGUCGGCAUGGUGGCGGUGGUGGUGGUGCGUGCUGGCUGGAUUUCGCCUGUUUUCGGCCGGCGGCGCGGGUUUGGGGCCCCGGCCCGGCGUGGCUGCGGUCCCGGCUGUGUGUGGCGGCGGCGAGGUUGCUUCACUGUGCCGGCUCCACGGCAGCUCGGCGGGUUGACGGGGGCGGCGGCUGGCUUUCCGGCGUCGGCUCGUCUGUUGGCGGCCUGUUUCGACCUUCGGCCCUCUCCUCGUCGUAUGGUUGCUACCUCCGUCGAAGGUUCCGCCUCCCCCGACUAUGGUCCAUCGCUCGUCUCGCGCUCGGCAGCAGGACCGAGCUCGUCUCGUGCCCGGCAGCAGGACCGAUCUUGUCUCGCGCCCGGCAGCAGGACCGACCUCGUCUCGCGCCCGGCAGCAGGACCGUGCUCGUCUCGCGCCCGGCAGCAGGAUGGGUCGAUGGAGGCCAAUUUUGGCCGACCUUCGGGUUUUGGCGUUAGGGGCAGCCCAGGGGUGCGAAAGGCGGUUCCUUCCGCUCGUAUCUUUGGUUAAGGUAGCGGUGGGUCUCGAGUGAGGUGGAUUCCAGGUCUUGGAUGCCAGGGCGGCGGCCCUGGGGUUGGCUCCGCGGUGCUCUUGGGCAGAGCCCGUGGUUAGGUGCUGCCCGGUGGCCAUGGCCGUGUGGGCGGCGUGGUCAUCGGGAUGUGGCGUCCGGUGGUGGUGAGUGUUGGCGGGGGUGAAAACUUGAUCUGUCUUCGGAUGGACUGGCAACGGCGAAGCUCGCUUCCUUCUUGAAGGCGUCGUCGCGGCUCUCAUUGCCCGUCGUGUUGCUCCAGGGGAAACUCUGAUCCUCGGGUCGGGCGGUGACGGCGCUCUGGUGUCAUAACCUUCCUGAAGGCGCCGCCUUGAAGCACACGGUUCGUUAUAUGCGGCUUCUUCUCUUCGCGUUGGCGUCUCCUCGGUUGAGGACUCCGGUUGCUCUUGUAGUACGAGGGGUAGUGUUGCCGCGCCUAUGUAUCCAGCCUUGGGUGUGUGCGUGUGUUGUGGUGGCGUGCGUUUGUAUCUAAGCUGCGGUCGGUCAUUGCUUUAUAUAUAAAGCGGGGCGAAAGCCUUUUUCGGUAAUAGCGCUGAUGGCCCCCUGUGUCAAUAGCGAGUUUUCCUUAGGCUACAUCUAUACCACCACCGAAAGUGAUUGGUCGCGACAAGGACCGUGAUCAUAUAAGACACCUCCUUACCCAGACGAGUGCUGCUGAGGCUAGUUCUGCCAAGUACUCAGGUUUGGCCAUUGUUGGAGCUGGAGGCAUGGGAAAAUCAACCCUGGCACAAUAUGUUUUCAAUGACAAGAGGGUAGAAGAAUGUUUUGAUGUCAAGAUGUGGGUCUUCAUCUCUCGCAAACUUGAUGUCCGUCGUCAUACACAGGAAAUUUUCGAGUCUGCAACAAAUGGGGAAUGCCCACGCCUUGACAACCUUGACACUCUCCAGGGAAAACUAAGAGAUAAACUGCAAGAAUGAGAGAAGUUCCUGCAGGUUCUGGAUGAUAUUUGGUUUGAUGAUUCCAACAAUCAGACGGAGUGGGACCAACUGCUAGCUCCUCUAGUUUCUCGGCACACUGGAAGCAAAGUUUUGGUAACUUCACGACGGGAUACACUUCCGGCUGCUCUUUGUUGCAGUGAAGUAGUAUUUUGUUUGGAAAACAUGGAAGAUAGGCAGUUCCUAGCACUGUUCAAAUACCAUGCCUUCUCUGAACAAGAAAUCAGAAAUCCACAGUUGUGUGAAAAACAAGAAGAGAUUGCAGAGGAAAUCGUUAAAAGGCUUGGGAAAUCUCCUUUGGCUGCAAAAGUUGUGGGUUCCCAGUUGAAUGAAAAACAAAUAUCAGUGCAUGGAAAGAUGCUCUAUCUAUACAGAUUGACAACUUAAGUGAGCCCAGGAGAGCUCUGCUAUGGAGUUAUGAGAAGUUAGAUCCACGUCUACAGAGGUGCUUUCUUUAUUGCAGCUUAUUUUCGAAAGGUCACAUGUAUGGCAUCGAGGAGUUGAUUCACCUGUGGGUAGCAGAGGGAUUUGUUGAUUCAUGCAACAUGAGCAAGAGAAUGGAAGAUAUUGGAAGAGAUUACUUCAAUGGAUGGUCUCUGUUUCAUUCCUUCAACAAGUUUCGAAUGGAUAUACCCAUGUUAUGCAUGAUCUCCUUCAUGAUUUGGCACAGUCACUCUCGAAACAAGACUGCUUCAGAUUGGAAGAUGAUAAGAUGACGGAGAUACCAUGCACCGUUCGACAUCUCUCUGUUUGUGUUGAGAGUAUGAUACAACAUAAGCAAAGUAUCUGCAGGUUACAUCAUUUACGCACUGUUAUCUGCAUUGACCCAGUAAUAGAUGACAUAAAUGAUGUUUUUAAUCAGGUACUACAGAGACUGAAGAAGUUGCGUGUACUAUAUUUGUCAUUAUACAACAAGAGCAAGUUGCCAGAAUCUAUUGGUGAGCUGAAGCACCUUCGAUAUCUGAACAUCAUCAGAAGUUUGGUUUCUGAGCUGCCGAGGUCAUUAUGUACUCUUUAUCACCUGCAAUUUCUUCAGUUCAGUGAUAAACUCCAUAGUUUGCCUGAGGUGCACUGCAACUUAAGUAAUUUACGUCAUCUUGGGAUGUAUGUUGAUAUAUGGGCUCAAUAUACAAAUCAGAUCGGCAAAUUCCUAACAUAGGCAAGCUAACCUCACUCCAAAACCUUGAGGAUUUUUAUUUGCAGAAGCAGAAGGGAUAUGAGUUACGACAGCUGGGGAACAUGAAGGAGCUUGGUGGCAGUUUAAGUGUCAAAAAUCUUGACAUUGUUACUGGGAGGGAUGAAGCCUUAGAGGCGAAGCUACAUCAGAAAAGUCAUCUCAAAAGCUUGCAUUUUGCCUGGUGUUGCAGGGAUGAUGUUAAUGCAGAGGAUCGUUUACAUUUAGAGGUUUUAGAAGGUCUGAAGCCACCACCACAACUAUUGGCCCUUGCAAUCCAAGGUUAUAGAGCAGCGAAAUAUCCAAAUUGGUUAUUUGAGGAUUCACAUUUUUAGAAUUUGGAAUCCUUUUCACUUGCUGAUUGCAGUAUGUUAGAAGGCCUGCCAUCUAAUAUCAACCUCUUCAGGAAUUGCUGUUCACUUGUCCUCGAGAAUGUCCCAAACCUGAAGAUAUUGCCUUGUCUUCCAGCUACAUAUUAAAAAUUUAAAAAUAAAAAAUGUCCACUGCUUACCUUUAUUUCCAACCAUGAGCUGGGACAACAUGAUCAAAGUGAGGACAUCAAGAGGACUGACCAUGUGGAAUCACAACUUGCUUCUGUAUAUGAGGUAUCUCAAGGACCAAAGAUUUUUUGGAAGGUACUGUCCUCUGAACAUUCAUCAUUUAAGCAGUUGAUCCCAUUGAUUGACGCUGGUACAUCGUCACAUCUUCAAACCAUUGGAAGUGCUCUUGGAAGAUGGCCAGGUGAAAUAUUAGAUGUAAAAGAGGAUAUCAUCAAGGCAUGGUAUGCUGCCACAAGCAGAGGAUAAGACUAAUUUAUGCAGGGACAGCAGAGCUGCCGCUGGUUCUACCAUCAAGACUUUGUGAACUUACUAUUUCUUCAUGCAAUAUUACAGAUGGAGCAUUAGCUAUUUGCCUUCAUGGUCUCACUUUACUGAAAGAACUGAGCUUAUCAAAGGUUAUGACUUUAACUACACUUCCGUCACAAGAGGUCCUCCAAUAUUCGACAAAGCUUUGUAACCUGAAAAUCAAAGAAUGCUGGUGUCUCCGAUCAUUAGGGGGCAUACGAGCCGCUACCUCUCUUGAGCACCUUAGGUUGGCUUCCUGUCCUUCUUUGGAGUUGGCAAGUGGAGCAUAAAUUAUGCCAUUAUCCCUUCGGUAUCUCCUUAUAGCGGAAUGCGUGCUUGCAGCUGAUUUCUUCUGUGGUGAUUGGCCACACUUGACAAGUAUUUUCAUAUGGGGUUGUAGAAGCACUGCAACCUUGUCCAUUGGUAGUCUAACCUCCCUUGAAUCUUUAUCACUUUCUUUUCUGCCAGAUUUGUGCACGCUCAAAGGAUUGACUUCCCUGCAACUUCGUCAUGUAACUUUAAAAAAUGUUCCCAGUCUCAGCACCGAGUGCAUCUCACAAUUUCGAGUCCAGAAAUCACUCGAAAUUAGCAGUUCCGUGAUGCUCAACCACAUGCCCUCGGGUGAAGGUUUUACAGCCCCCCCACGUCUCAAUAUUGACUGCUGUGAGGAACCAUCCAUUUCAUUUGAAGAAUCUGCAAACUUCACAUCUGUCGUGUGUCUGCACUUUUAUGGUUGCGCAAUGAGGUCUCUACCAACAAAUCUGAAGUGCUUCUCCAGUCUGGCGGAUCUCCAAAUUCUACACUGUUACAACAUAUCAUCUCUGCCAGAUCUGCCAACCUCCCUCCGGCGCAUACAUAUAGUGAAUUGUGGUCUCCUGGAGAAGAGCUGUCGUGCACCUGAUGGAGAAAGCUGGCCAAAGAUUGCGCAUAUCCGCUGGAAGGAUAUUCAUUCAGGGGUGAUUCGUAAAUACAAUGAAAUGUAA